UGAGUGUAAGCGAAUCCCAAAAUAAACGUCUCAUUCGGAUUGUAGUCUGCAACUCGACUACAUGAAGCUGGAAUCGCUAGUAAUCGCAGAUCAGAAUGCUGCGGUGAAUACGUUCCCGGGUCUUGUACACACCGCCCGUCACACCAUGGGAGUCGGAAAUGCCCGAAGUCGGUGACCCAACCGUUUAUGGAGGGAGCUGCCGAAGGCAGGUCUGGUGACUGGGGUGAAGUCGUAACAAGGUAGC
rnacentral:rRNA from 1 species